UCUGCAGUGAUGAGCUUUAACUUGUGACCAUCUCAAAUGAUUUCUUCAAUGAGAUUUUCUUGUUACGCUUGGCUUGUGAGCAUA